rnacentral:rRNA from 1 species
GUAGGUGGCAAGCGUUGUCCGGAAUUAUUGGGCGUAAAGCGCGCGCAGGCGGUUCUUUAAGUCUGAUGUGAAAGCCCACGGGCUCAACCGUGGAGGGUCAUUGGAAACUGGAGAACUUGAGUACAGAAGAGGAAAGCGGAAUUCCACGUGUAGCGGUGAAAUGCGUAGAGAUGUGGAGGAACACCAGUGGCGAAGGCGGCUUUCUGGUCUGUAACUGACGCUGAGGCGCGAAAGCGUGGGGAGCGAACAGGAUUAGAUACCCUGGUAGUCCACGCCGUAAACGAUGAGUGCUAAGUGUUAGGGGGUUUCCGCCCCUUAGUGCUGCAGCUAACGCAUUAAGCACUCCGCCUGGGGAGUACGGCCGCAAGGCUG